GUGGACGGGAAGAUGGUCAGUAGGAGAGGGUAACACUGAUGACUCGCUCAUUGGUGGAAAUGCCUCCGCCCGAGGGCAAAGAGAAGACUGUUCAUAGUUCGUUGCAUAUGGGAUCUGCUUGAAAGCUGUGUGGUCUUAGAUGCCAACUGCUACUUCCUUUGCAACAAUAGACAUAGAAUCUAAAAAUGGUGGAUGGCACCUGAAAAAGAAUUGUGGGAGAAAGCUCUGUAAAGGGUUGUAUUUAAAAGAUCAGUGAGGGGGGUG